GUCUCUAGGUAACAAUAAACACCCGGGCAGGAGCAGCUGGUGCCCCGACCGCCUCUGCAUCACAAUGCCGGAAUCACGCUAAUCAACCGCCCGCACCGCGCCCGCACCGCCCGGGCACCGCCGGGCUCCGGCCGUGGGCAGGGGAUGGCCGUGGGAAAGGUGUGAACGGAUUUUUGGAAGGAAACGUCUAAAUUGGAUGAAAAACCUUUAAUGCCGACAGCCGGAGCAGCUGGAAGGACAAAUAUAGCCGGAGAGGAGGAGGAGGAGGAGGACGGGGACGCGGUGGGAGGUGGUGGCCGUGCCGAGAGCGACACCUGGUGACAGUCACCCCCCCCCGGACACGUGUGAACACGCGUGUGGCACCCAGCAUCCCAUCUCCAUCCCCAUUCCCGGAGCAGGCCGUGCCCGGAGCACCGGGAUGUU
rnacentral:lncRNA from 1 species